rnacentral:rRNA from 1 species
GGCAACUCUCGAGUUCAGUGGCAGACGGGUGCGUAACACGUGAGAAACUUGUCCAUCGGUGGGGGAUAGCCGGCCCAACGGCCGGUUAAUACCGCGUACGAUCGUUAGGGGCAUCCCUGAACGAUGAAAGCAUCGCAAGAUGCGCCGGCGGAGAGUCUCGCGGCCUAUCAGCUAGUUGGCGGGGUAACGGCCCACCAAGGCGACGACGGGUAGCUGGUCUGAGAGGAUGGCCAGCCACAUUGGGACUGAGACACGGCCCAGACUCCUACGGGAGGCAGCAGUGGGGAAUCUUGCGCAAUGGCCGCAAGGCUGAC